GUAGUCCACGCCGUAAACGUUGGGCGCUAGGUGUGGGGGGUUAUCCACUCCCUCCGUGCCGCAGCUAACGCAUUAAGCGCCCCGCCUGGGGAGUACGGCCGCAAGGCUAAAACUCAAAGGAAUUGACGGGGCCCGCACAAGCGGCGGAGCAUGUGGCUUAAUUCGACGCAACGCGAAGAACCUUACCAAGGCUUGACAUGCAGGGAAAUCUCGUAGAGAUACGGGGGUCCGCAAGGGCUCUGCACAGGUGGUGCAUGGUUGUCGUCAGCUCGUGUCGUGAGAUGUUGGGUUAAG
rnacentral:rRNA from 1 species